GAUGAACGCUGGCGGCGUGCCUAAUACAUGCAAGUCGAGCGAACGGACGAGAAGCUUGCUUCUCUGAUGUUAGCGGCGGACGGGUGAGUAACACGUGGAUAACCUACCUAUAAGACUGGGAUAACUUCGGGAAACCGGAGCUAAUACCGGAUAAUAUUUUGAACCGCAUGGUUCAAAAGUGAAAGACGGUCUUGCUGUCUCUUAUAGAUGGAUCCGCGCUGCAUUAGCUAGUUGGUAAGGUAACGGCUUACCAAGGCAACGAUGCAUAGCCGACCUGAGAGGAUGAUCGGCCACACUGGAACUGAGACACGGUCCAGACUCCUACGGGAGGCAGCAGUAGGGAAUCUUCCGCAAUGGGCGAAAGCCUGACGGAGCAACGCCGCGUGAGUGAUGGAGGUCUUCGGAUCGUAAAACUCUGUUAUUAGGGAAGAACAUAUGUGUAAGUAACUGUGCACAUCUUGACGGUACCUAAUCAGAAAGCCACGGCUAACUACGUG
rnacentral:rRNA from 1 species